rnacentral:rRNA from 1 species
AUGAGGGCCAGACAUGAUGCACGAGGUGCAAUCAAAGAAAUAAAAGCAAAACUGGAUAGCCCUGCGGAUGGAGCUGAUGUGGAGCUUGCUGGAGCUGAUGCCAAGAAGGUGAUAUCUUCACAUGAGCGAAAAGAAGCUCAGACCAGGGAGCUUGCUGGAGUUCAUGCUGAAGCUGAUGAUACUGCUAGAGCUGAUGUGAAGAAGACGCAAGCGAAGGUGUCAGUCUUGACACCUUCAGAUGGAGCUGAUGUGAAGGAGUUGCAAGCGAAGGUGCCAGUCCCGACAACAUCGCGAUCUUUGGUUGAGCUUGCUGGAGCUGAUGCCAAGAAGGUGAUAUCUUCGAAUGAGCGAAAAGAAGCUCAGACCAGGGAGGUGCCACCUGAUGAAGUUGAGUGGGCAAGGUGGUUGAAGCGUAGGCGUGCAGGUCUAAAGGUCAUGGACCUACUGAUGGAAUGA